rnacentral:rRNA from 1 species
UCCGUAGGUGGAUAAUUAAGUCAGAGGUGAAAUCCUGCAGCUCAACUGUAGAAUUGCCUUUGAUACUGGUUAUCUUGAGUUAUUAUGAAGUAGUUAGAAUAUGUAGUGUAGCGGUGAAAUGCAUAGAUAUUACACAGAAUACCGAUUGCGAAGGCAGAUCACUAAUAAUGUACUGACACUGAGGGACGAAAGCGUGGGGAGCGAACAGGAUUAGAUACCCUGGUAGUCC